UGAAAAUGACGUGCAAAUCGAGUAUAUAUAGUGUUUCGAAAAAAAAAAUUUGAGCUGGCCGAUUGGGAGCCUGCAAUGGCGGCCAGCCGACUGGCGAGCGGAUCGGCCAGCGCCCGAAAAUCGGCGUCGGGUCGCCAAUUUUUUCCCGUAAAUGGCGCUCGCCGGUUCCAAUGGUUCGGCGAGCGGACUGGCCAGCGCCGGGAAUCGGCUAGCCUGUCCGCUCGCCGCCAUUGGAGAUGCUCUUAGGGUGUGUUGGAGAGAAAUUUGAUAGGUGUAAAGGGGUUUAUAUAGGCAAAACUUGGUGUACCUCUUGAGGGAAUUAAAUGAAAGCUGAUCUUCUUUGUUUUUAUGCCAUGACAUAUCUCCUUUUCUAUUUUUCUAUGAUUUUGCUGCACUUUACACUCAAUUGUUUUGGUGUUAUGUUGCGGUACUUGGUACUUAGCAUUGCAUGAAGUAUGAAGACUAUCUCCAUCCGUGACACUCACCCAACCCAACCUCAAUCAACUUUUUAAUAAAAUAUUUAUUUAUCUAUCCUCCACAUACACAACUCUCCCUCAAUUCAACCCCAUCAACUUUUUUACUUCCAUUAGUGAUCCCAACCCAACUCAAUUAAAUAUUUUCUUUUUCGUAUAUUUUAUGUUAAUAUUUUAAUUUAUAGUUAAUUUAGAUAUAUUAAAUAAUGUCUAACAAUUAUAAUAAAAAAUAUAUUAUUCAAAUUUAAAACAGAAAAUAUUAGAUGUUCAAAUAAUUAAAGCUUAAUAUAAUAACAAAUUACACACUAUCUACACUUGCAUGAACCCAAGAAGACAUAAGUGCUAAAUCUUCUUUCACAACCCAACUUACAUUGUUUGAGCUCCUCUUCUUUUUGCUCUCUUGUUGGGCAUCUCCGAACAAGUUUUGGGCGACAUUGUUUGAUGUGGGAAUUUCAGUUGAUGUAGGAAUUUGGCUUAGAUUUGGAGAUAAUUCAAAGUUUUGUGAAUACUCAGGAUUUGAAAAUGAUUGGGGAUUCUGAUAAGGUGGUGCAAAAUUUGGAAAAUUUUGCGAACUAAUUCUGAUGAUUGUUAAUAAUUUUUGGAAUUAAAAUAGUUUGGGAAACAAGGGCGAUAAUUUGGAUGAUUUGGAUCCAUAAAAUCAAAUUUAUCAAAACAAUAAUGAAAGGGCGAUAAUUUGGAUGAUUUGGUUGCUUUUGUGAUGAGUUCUACAUGUUAAGUGGGAUAUAUAUAGAAAAGUGAAGCACAAUGUAGUAGCAAAUAAUAAAAAAUAAAAAUAAAAUAAUAAAAAAUGAAGUAGUUCACGUCAUUUUAUGGAUGAGUGGCUCACAUGGUUUUUUUGGAAGAAUAAUUCACAUGAUAUUUGAAAAGAUAUAUAGAGAUAAAUGUAAUAAUCAUUGAAAAAAAAUUAAUAAUUAAUAAAACAAUCAAAAUUUAGUGUAGUGCAAAAUUUUUGAGAUUGAAAAUGUGAUGAAGAAUUAUAUUGUUAUUGUGCAAAUUUAUUACAACAUACAUGUACUCCAAUAAUCAAGUAAUAAAAAUAAAUCAAUAAUAAAAAGUGAAAAAAUAAAAAUAAAAAAGAAAUUAAUAUUCAGCCAAUAAUAUGAAGACAUGUGGCUUGUGCCCCUCACUUUUUCUAGUGGCGGCAGGCUGCUCUCGAGGGAUGAGGGGCGAUUGCCUGAAAUUAUCUUACAAUUACUUUUAUUUAUACUUAUUUUGUCUUUUAUGUGUGACAUUGUCUAGAAUGUCACCGUUGGAGGUAGUCGAAGAGAGUGUGGUGGCUGUUGCAGGAGGGGAAAAAUGGCAGGUUUGAUUUGCAUCUUUUGGGGGAAAACUGAAAAUCUUCGGCUGCCACCUUGCUGAUUUGGGCCCGGAGUGCUCGUUUGGAAGCUUACAUUUUGGUUCCUUUCUUCGUGUAAUUACUUUGAAAUUAGUUGAUAGUUCAUUGUGUAUGUAAAAGAUAUUCGAACACCUUUAGUCCGAAAUAAACUUUCUGUUCCUUUUUAUAAUUA